rnacentral:rRNA from 1 species
AGUGCCUUCGGGAAUCGGAACACAGGUGCUGCAUGGCUGUCGUCAGCUCGUGUCGUGAGAUGUUGGGUUAAGUCCCGCAACGAGCGCAACCCUUGUCCUUAGUUGCCAUCAUUUAAUGGGGGGAACUCUAAGGAGAGUGCCUGAGACAAACCGGAAGAAGGGGGGGAUGACGUCAAGUCAUCGUGGCCCUUACGGCCGGGGUUACACACGUACUACAAUGGUCGGUACAGAGGGUCCCAAUGCCGCGAGGCGGACCCAAUCCCAAAAAGCCUAUCUCAUUCCAGAUUGGAGUCUGCAACUCGACUCCGUGAAGUCAGAAUCUCUAGUAAUCGCAGAUCAACAUUGCUGCGGAGAAUACGUUCCCGGGUCUUGUACACACCG